rnacentral:rRNA from 1 species
AUGCUCGUCACUCUGUUCAGCGCCCACUCCCCGCCCGACGCCGCGAUGUACUGCUGCACUAUGUACUUGGCCGACGACGAUUCCUGCCAUGCCAAUUCAGUCACAUCACACGAACGAUUAUCGUCAGAACCAAUCUUCUUCUUGUGUCAGAAGCAAGAAAACCAAUCUUGCGUCGUCAGAGCUGGACGUACAAUGGGGUCGCCCUUGAGCUGCUCGCAGAGCACCGAGGAGGGCGACUGCUUGGCGUGGCUGACGGGGAGCGGGAUGAGCGGCGCGCCGAUGACGCCGAGCAUGAGCUGGAGCUCGCCGCGGCUCAUGGAGCACGGCUCGCCGGCGCCGGAGCGGUCGGCGGCGUGCGAGCGCAUCCACGCCUUGACGCCGGUGCAGCCGAACCUGGAGCCGCGGGAGCCCCCGCCGCCGCCGGAGAACAUCUCCUCGGGGAUGGGCACCUCCAGCACCGUGUCCAGCGCGUCGUCGCGCUCCAGGUUGGGGCACAAUUUCCUCAUGGGGCGCGCGGGCGACAGAGGGGCGCUCUCCCACAGCUCAAUCUCCUCCUCCUCUGCUUGGCCCUGGACGCUGCUGGCUCCGUGGAUGCGAUGCGAUGCGUUGCGCUGCGCAGCUCUGCUCUGUAUGGCCAAGUGUUGGAGAGAGCUCGCCCUCCUUUUUGUUGGGGUUAUUGCGCCUCCGCUCUCGUCCUGGUCUCGGUGGUCUUGUACCGGUUUUUCAUGGGCCGUGCGGGCGGCUGGCAGCUGGGCCCGGAGAUUUGCCCUUUCCUUUCGUUAUCUUUCCCGGAGUCUGGUCGUGGCCGCACGCUCUGCCCUGUCUUGUUUAACAUUUUCUUUUUCUAGAUUUUCUCGGCGCGUCAGCGCGUCAACAAAAUUAUACAUUUCCCUUGUGGAGUUUCAACCUCCUCCUUUUCUGCUGGGCUAUGGCGUUCCCACGCACACGCUUCCUUUAGUGGAGUGCAUGUGA